AAAAAAAGCCUCUAGUGAGUGUUGUGGCGGCCCGUACCCUAAACCGACUCAGGUGGUCAGGUAGAGAAUACCAAGGCGAUCGGGUGAACUGUGGUUAAGGAACUCGGCAAAUUGCCCCCGUACUUCGGGAGAAGGGGGACCUCUGCUGGUGAUGGGCUUUACGUUCUGAGCUGGUGGGGGUCGCAGUGCCAGGGGGAAGCGACUGUUUACUAAAAACACAGGUCCGUGCGAAGUCGUAAGACGAUGUAUACGGACUGACGCCUGCCCGGUGCCGGAACGUUAAGGGGACCGCUUAGCCAGCUUCGGUUGGCGAAGGUGAGAACUUAAGCGCCGGUAAACGGCGGUGGUAACUAUAACCAUCCUAAGGUAGCGAAAUUCCUUGUCGGGUAAGUUCCGACCUGCACGAAUGGCGUAACGACUUCCCCGCUGUCUCAACCACAGACCCGGCGAAAUUGCACUACGAGUAAAGAUGCUCGUUUCGCGCAGCAGGACGGAAAGACCCCGGGACCUUCACUACAGCUUGACAUUGGCGUUUGGAACGUCUUGUGUAGGAUAGGUGGGAGACUAGGAAGCUGUCACGCUAGUGAUGGUGGAGUCAUUGGUGAAAUACCACUCUGGUCGUUUUGAACGUCUAACUCUGGUCCGUGAUCCGGAUCGGGGACAGUGUCUGGUGGGUAGUUUAACUGGGGCGGUUGCCUCCUAAAGAGUAACGGAGGCGCCCAAAGGUUCCCUCAGCCUGGUUGGCAAUCAGGUGUUGAGUGUAAGUGCACAAGGGAGCUUGACUGUGAGACUGACAGGUCGAGCAGGAGCGAAAGCUGGGACUAGUGAUCCGGCAUCGGCGUGUGGAAGCGGUGUCGCUCAACGGCUAAAAGGUACCCCGGGGAUAACAGGCUGAUCUUCCCCAAGAGUCCAUAACGACGGGAUGGUUUGCACCUCGAUGUCGGCUCGUCGCAUCCUGGGGCUGGAGUAGGUCCCAAGGGUUGGGCUGUUCGCCCAUUAAAGCGGUACGCGAGCUGGGUUUAGAACGUCGCGAGACAGUUCGGUCCCUAUCCGCUGCGCGCGCAGGAGACUUGAAGGGGGCUGUCCCUAGUACGAGAGGACCGGGACGGACGAACCUCUGGUGUGCCAGUUGUACCGCCAGGUGCACGGCUGGUUGGCUACGUUCGGAAGGGAUAACCGCUGAAAGCAUCUAAGCGGGAAGCUCGCCUUGAGAUGAGGUCUCCCACCCUGUGAGGGGGUAAGGCUCCCGGUAGAUCACCGGGUUGAUAGGCCGGAGGUGGAAGCACGGUAACGUGUGGAGCUGACCGGUACUAAUAGGCCGAGGACUUGACCAC
rnacentral:rRNA from 1 species